AUUAGAAUAGAACAUGAAAAUUAUUCUCUGUUUUGUUUUCUCUUUAUGUUAGAACAGAAUAAUAUUAUGUUUUGUCAGCUGCAAUAUUAGUCCUAAACGAAUAGUUUAUUAAGGAUAAGUACUAUAAAUGCUCCAUUUGUUAUUUGUUCUUAUGAUAAUAACAUUUAUUAUUAUUUUAAUCUAAGAUAGUAUCUAGAGCUUUCUUUGGAACACCAAUAAUUUUUUUUUUAAAUGGCUUUCUCUACAUCUAUUCCUAUUAUGUCUUCCCCUUUUUAACUUCAGAAAAACUUGAUGAAUCCAACUAUCUAUUCUAGCGACAAUAAAUUGAACCUAUAAUUAAAGCUCACAAGCUUUAGUGGUUCGUCAUCAAUCCAUCCAUUCUUCCGCAAUAUCUUGUUAGAAAAGAUUGUCAUGAUGGCAAAGUGAAUCUUGACUAUGAAGUUUGGAAAGUACAAGACUCGCUGCUACUCACCUAGCUUCAAUCCACUUUGUCGAAAUUCAUUCUCUCUAGCGUCAUUAGCUCAACUCAAUCAUGUCAGAGCAGAGCAAAGAAUUUGUUGAAGACAAUGUCUCGCACACGAAGUCAUCCUUUUUCUUCUUGUUCGUAUGGGUCACAAAAUCGCAACGUCUCUCCUCCUCGUGGGUGGUGUGGGUCAUUAGGUGGAUCUCCAAUUUACUAUUGUGGGGAGAUUGCAGUGUUGAGGGUGGCAAGUACAGUGAAGAAUGGUGGGAAACAAUUCUAGGGUUGCCCUAACUAUAAGGAAAGUGCAAAUGAGGAUUUCAAAGGAUGCAAUUACUUCAAAUGGUGCAAUGAAGAUAAUGUGAAUGAAAGGGAUGCAAUUAUUGGAAGACAAAACAAAAAGAUUAGUGAUAUGGAGAAAACCCUGAUUUAAAGGUGGUUCAAAUAUGGUUGUAAUUCUCACCAAAAUACUUGACUAUAAAGAGUUUGAUAAGUUACACCUGAUUUAAAGAGUUGGAUCAUUUUCACAAAACACAAUAAGUGAUUCCUAGAAAUAAUUUGGCAAAUUCACAUAUUGAGAGAGAGAGAGGUUAAACUCUGUUUAUAUUAAUCUUGA